rnacentral:rRNA from 1 species
UACGUAGGGUGCAAGCGUUUGUCCGGAAUUAUUGGGCGUAAAGAGCUCGUAGGCGGUCUGUCGCGUCGGAUGUGAAAAAUCCAGGGCUCAACCCUGGACCUGCAUUCGAUACGGGCAGACUAGAGUUCGGUAGGGGGGACUGGAAUUCCUGGUGUAGCGGUGAAAUGCGCAGAUAUCAGGAGGAACACCGGUGGCGAAGGCGGGUCUCUGGGCCGAAACUGACGCUGAGGAGCGAAAGCGUGGGGAGCGAACAGG